rnacentral:rRNA from 1 species
CCUACGGGAGGCAGCAGUGGGGAAUAUUGCGCAAUGGGCGAAAGCCUGACGCAGCAACGCCGCGUGGGGGAUGAAGGCCUUCGGGUUGUAAACCUCUUUCAGCAGGGAAGAAGCGAAAGUGACGGUACCUGCAGAAGAAGCACCGGCUAACUACGUGCCAGCAGCCGCGGUAAUACGUAGGGUGCAAGCGUUGUCCGGAUUUAUUGGGCGUAAAGAGCUCGUAGGCGGUUAGUCACGUCGGAUGUGAAAUCCCGGAGCUUAACUCCGGGCCUGCAUUCGAUACGGGCUGACUCGAGUGUUGUAGGGGAGACUGGAACUCCUGGUGUAGCGGUGAAAUGCGCAGAUAUCAGGAAGAACACCGGUGGCGAAGGCGGGUCUCUGGGCAACUACUGACGCUGAGGAGCGAAAGCGUGGGGAGCAAACAGGAUUAGAUACCCUGGUAGUCCACGCCGUAAACGGUGGGCGCUAGGUGUGGGGAACAUCCUACGUUCUCUGCGCCGCGACGCUACGACUAUAACGUCCGCCCCGCCCGGUCGGGUACGGUACGGCCGCCGACGGACGUAAACCUUAACUAGUAGUAGACGGCGNGAGACGCGCCGACGGACGACGACGAGGGAGGUAGG